rnacentral:rRNA from 1 species
AUACGGAGGACGCGAGCGUUAUCCGGAUUCAUUGGGUUUAAAGGGUGCGCAGGCGGCCGUGCAAGUCAGCGGUGAAAGCCCGGGGCUCAACCCCGGAAGUGCCGUUGAUACUGCAUGGCUGGAAUGCGGUCGAGGCGGGCGGAACGGGGCGUGUAGCGGUGGAAUGCGUAGAUAUGCCACAGAACGCCGUUAGCGGAGGCAGCUCGCCAGGCCUGCAUUGACGCUCGGGCACGAAAGCGUGGGGAUCGAACAGGAUUAGAUACCCUGGUAGUCCACGCCGUAAACGAUGGGCGCUCGUCGUCGGCGACAGACAGUCGGCGGCCAAGCGAAAGCGAUAAGCGCCCCACCUGGGGAGUACGGUCGCAAGGCUGAAACUCAAAUGAAUUGACGGGG